rnacentral:lncRNA from 1 species
GUUAAGUGUGAUUGAACAACAGCAUAACACUUUCCUAACCGAUUCCCACAGGUGCAUGCAUUGAGCUGAGGGCUGGGAGAGCACUUUGUUGGGAGCCCCAGUUAAGGGAUUCGUGGUACUCAUGAGGAGCAGAGAUGCAUGAGUCUCCUCGCUGACUUUUCAGGUCCUCUCGCCGUUGUCUGACUCCAUCCUGGCUGAGAAGACGGUGAUUGUCCUGGAUGACCGAGUCGCCAUCGUGGAGCUGGGAGUGCAGCUCGUAGCUGGCAUGUCUCUCUCCCUGCAGCCACACCGAGCAGACAAAAGGGCCAUCGUCUCCACAGCCGCUGCCCUGGAUGUUCUUCUGUCCCCACAGCAGGGGGAAGAAUUGAUAUAUCUGAACUGGAAAAUAAUUUUCAUAUGCUCAGUUUGCUAAUAUAGUUUGGAGAUUUUUUUAAGGCCACUUACCAAAAAAAAGUUCAAAGCAGAGGCCCCUCAGAGAUGAACACUAGGUACAGAACAAGACUCCUGUCAACCACACUUAGUUCAAGCUGAAGGAACCCGGCCUCUCUUUGCUAAUGUGUUAUUGAAAAUUGGCAUUGCUCAUCAUUAUGGAAACAAAAUUCCCAACACCAUAAUGUUAGUUCAAAGAAGGAAAACAGCAAUCAUUUCCAACACUGUUGAUUUGGAACCCAUUGUUUAAUUCCUCAUGAAUUAAAGCAAAAGACAAUCAGAAAGGCAAUUACCAGUAAGAACUAAAGGUAUCGGCUUCAUUUAUUAUAAAAUAUAAUAAAUUUAAACUUAAUUUAAAAAUCCAAAUGUGGGUUAAGCUUUUGUUUUUCAUUCCUUGAACAAUUUAAAGUUUUAAUAUAAAUAUCUUCUGCUGCAAACAAGACCCUAGAGUCACAGAAGUUUCAGGCUUAAAUCUGCGAGUGUUUCUUUGGCACGUUUAGCUGAGAAUAUGAGAUGGGAAAUGUAUGUGAUUUUAUUCAAUGGGUUCUGAUUAUGUAAUAAAGGGCAAAGGCCUGGGAAACUUUCACAUUUCACUUCCCUGUGUUGGGAUUAAUUUAAUAGUAUCCACUUUCCUGCCCAGAUAAUAAGCUAAAUUCCCAACUGCCCACUUGAAAAAAAUAUGUAUAUAUCUGAGUGCAUGUGUGUAUUACAUAUACAAUUUAGUCUCUGAAUAUACAGAACACUCAAAUCAAGCAGUUGGUUGUGUUAUGAUUUGUAACAUUUUUGGUAUUUAGCAUAAAAAUCAUCUUCUAAAAAAGAGUGUAUAGUCAUUGUAAAUAAUGUUUGAGAAUUGAAGUUCUUGAGGAUUUUGAUAAAAUAUAUUUUUAAAAGAAGGAAUAUGUGUAUUCC